rnacentral:rRNA from 1 species
GAGACAGCAGUAGCCACGGUAAUACGUAGGUCCCGAGCGUUGUCCGGAUUUAUUGGGCAUAAAGGGAGCGCAGGCGGUUUAGUAAGUCUGAAGUUAAAGGCAUUGGCUCAACCAAUGUAUGCUUUGGAAACUGUUAGACUUGAGUGCAGAAGGGGAGAGUGGAAUUCCAUGUGUAGCGGUGAAAUGCGUAGAUAUAUGGAGGAACACCGGUGGCGAAAGCGGCUCUCUGGUCUGUCACUGACGCUGAGGCUCGAAAGCGUGGGUAGCGAACAGGUUUAGAUACCCCAGUAGUCCCUGUCUCUUAUACA